rnacentral:rRNA from 1 species
UGGGAAAGUGGGUGUAAUACCGGAUAUGACCUUCUGUUGCAUGACGGAUGGUGGAAAUUAUUCGCUGGGGGAUGGGCCCGCGGCCUAUCAGCUUGUUGGUGGGGUGAUGGCCUACCAAGGCGACGACGGGUAGCCGGCCUGAGAGGGCGACCGGCCACACUGGGACUGAGACACGGCCCAGACUCCUACGGGGGGCAGCAGUGGGGAAUAUUGCGCAAUGGGCGGAAGCCUGACGCAGCGACGCCGCGUGGGGGAUGACGGCCUUCGGGUUGUAAACCUCUUUCGGCCCCGACGAAGCGUGAGUGACGGUAGGGGUGGAAGAAGCACCGGCCAACUACGUGCCAGCAGCCGCGGUAACACGUAGGGUGCGAGCGUUGUCCGGAAUUAUUGGGCGUAAAGAGCUCGUAGGCGGUGUGUCGCGUCGGCCGUGAAAACCUGCAGCUUAACUGCGGGCUUGCGGUCGAUACGGGCAUCACUGGAGUUCGGCAGGGGAGACUGGAAUUCCUGGUGUAGCGGUGAAAUGCGCAGAUAUCAGGAGGAACACCGGUGGCGAAGGCGGGUCUCUGGGCCGAUACUGACGCUGAGGAGCGAAAGCGUGGGGAGCGAACAGGAUUAGAUCACCCUGGU